UUGCCCCGCCUGGGGAAGUACCGGUUGCAGGGCCUGAAAAUUCAAAAGGAAUUGACGGGGGGCCCGCACAAAGCGCGUGGAGGCAUGUUGGUUUAAUUCGGAACGCAACGCCGAGAGGAACCCUUACCCUGGGGUUUGAACCUACGGGGGGCCGGUACAAGAGGAUGUACCCUUUCCUCUCGGGGACUCCCGUGGGAGGUGCUGCAUGGCUGUCGUCCAGCUCGGUGCCGUGAGGUUGUUGGGUUAAGUCCCGCAAACGAGCGCAACCCCUGCCCCUAGUUACCAGCGGUUCGGCCGGGGACUUUAGGGGGGACUGCGGCGUCAAGCCGGAGGAAGGUGGGGAUGACGUCAAGUCAUCAUGGCCUUUAUGUCCAGGGCUACACACGUGCUACAAUGGGCGGUACAAAGGGUCGCGAAACCGCGAGGUGGAGCCAAUCCCAAAAAGCCGUCCUCAGUUCGGAUUGCAGUCUGCAACUCGACUGCAUGAAGUUGGAAUCGCUAGUAAUCGCGUAUCAGAACGACGCGGUGAAUACGUUCCCGGGCCUUGUACACACCGCCCGUCACAUCACGAAAGUCGGUUGCACCAGAAAGGCAGCGGCC
rnacentral:rRNA from 1 species